rnacentral:rRNA from 1 species
CCUUACACAUGCAAGUCGGACGGCAGCGCGGGCUUCGGCCUGGCGGCGAGUGGCGAACGGGUGAGUAAUACAUCGGAACGUGUCCUGGAGUGGGGGAUAGCCCGGCGAAAGCCGGAUUAAUACCGCAUACGCUCUGAGGAGGAAAGCGGGGGAUCUUUCGGGACCUCGCGCUCAAGGGGCGGCCGAUGGCAGAUUAGGUAGUUGGUGGGGUAAAGGCCUACCAAGCCGACGAUCUGUAGCUGGUCUGAGAGGACGACCAGCCACACUGGGACUGAGACACGGCCCAGACUCCUACGGGAGGCAGCAGUGGGGAAUUUUGGACAAUGGGCGCAAGCCUGAUCCAGCAAUGCCGCGUGUGUGAAGAAGGCCUUCGGGUUGUAAAGCACUUUUGUCCGGAAAGAAAACCUCUGCCCUAAUACGGCGGGGGGAUGACGGUACCGGAAGAAUAAGCACCGCUAACUACGUGCCAGCAGCCGCGGUAAUACGUAGGGUGCGAGCGUUAUCGGAUUACCUGGGCG